CAAUAGCAACAUCAAGUGGACAGAGAAAGGCUGCCAGCACUGUACCUGCCCAAGGCCAGAGGGAGCAAUUUAGAGUGCACAAGCCCUAGAAAGGACUUCAGUAUUUGAUCAUUGAGGUCAUCACAUUAUGUUAUGAACAGCGAUACUGUUCUUGUGAAAUGUAACCAACAGAAUCUUGAAACCAUAAUCUUGUGCUGCUUUUGAUGUGUUAAGACCACCUAACACUGGUACACUUGAACAGCUGAAAGCACUCAGCACCUCAAUCCUCUCACUUUCUCUCAGAAUUUGACCUCUGAGGUUUCCAGAGCUGAGAAAGCAUGAACUGUAAUUGAUGCUGUUCUGCCACGCCACAACACUGACUGCUGCGGUGUUUUAAGUGAGGAAGCAUAGAUGAACACUGCUUCUGUGAAUGUUCUGAACACCAGGGUAUUCAAUUACUCAAACUGGAUAUAUCUAGUAAAUUCAUGACAAAUUAUUCUGUGGCCUGCUUCCAAAAAGUGAAAACCACUCUUACUGUGGAAGACAAUUCAGCUGCAAGGCCAGCUUGCAUAAACAAAAGUAGUAUAAAGGAAA